rnacentral:rRNA from 1 species
AGGUGAACCUGCGGAAGGAUCAUUACCACACCUAAAAAACUUUCCACGUGAACCGUAUCAACCCUUUUAGUUGGGGGUGUUGCUUGGCAUUUUGCUGAGCCGCGCCCUAUCAUGGCGAAUGUUUGGACUUCGGUCUGGGCUAGUAGCUUUUUGUUUUAAACCAUUUAACAAUACUGAUUAUACUGUGGGGACGAAAGUCUCUGCUUUUAACUAGAUAGCAACUUUCAGCAGUGGAUGUCUAGGCUCGCACAUCGAUGAAGAACGCUGCGAACUGCGAUACGUAAUGCGAAUUGCAGGAUUCAGUGAGUCAUCGAAAUUUUGAACGCAUAUUGCACUUCCGGGUUAGUCCUGGGAGUAUGCCUGUAUCAGUGUCCGUACAUCAAACUUGGCUUUCUUCCUUCCGUGUAGUCGGUGGAGGAUGUGCCAGAUGUGAAGUGUCUUGCGGUUUGUGUGCCUUCGGGCCGAGGCUGCGAGUCCUUUGAAAUGUACUGAACUGUACUUCUCUUUGCUCGAAAAGCGUGGUGUUGCUGGUUGUGGAGGCUGCCUGCGUGGCCAGUCGGCGGCCGGUUUGUCUGCUGCGGCGUUUAAUGGAGGAGUGUUCGAUUCGCGGUAUGGUUGGCUUCGGCUGAACAGGCGCUUAUUGUAUGCUUUUCCUGCUGUGGCGUGAUGGGCUGGUGAACCGUAGCUGUGUGUGGCUUGGCUUUUGAAUCGGCUUUGCUGUUGCGAAGUAGAGUGGCGGCUUCGGCUGUCGAGUGUCGAUCCAUUUUGGGAAAUUUUGUGUGCGCUUUCGAGUGUGCAUCUCAAUUGGACCUGAUAUCAGGCAAGAUUACCCGCUGAA